rnacentral:misc_RNA from 1 species
GAAAUGCGAUAAGUAAUGUGAAUUGCAGAAUUCAGUGAAUCAUCGAAUAUUUGAACGCACCUUGCGCUCCUUGGUAUUCCUUGGAGCAUGCCUGUUUGAGUAUCAUGAAAUCUUCAAAGUAAAUCUUUUGUUAACUCAAUUGGUUUCUACUUUGGUAUUGGAGGUCUUUGCAGCUUCACACCUGCUCCUCUUUGUUCAUUAGCUGGAUCUCAGUGUUAUGCUUGGUUCCACUCGGCGUGAUAAGUUAUCUAUCGCUGAGGACACUGUAAAAGGUGGCCAAGGUAAAUGCAGAUGAACCGCUUCUAAUAGUCCAUUGACUUGGACAAUACUUUUAUGAUCUGAUCUCAAAACAGGUAGGACUACCCGCUGAACUUAAGC